CAAACCGCGGCAUUCGAAGGCGUGCCCAUGCCGUUGUUCACAAGCGAGGUAUGCGUGCGCUGCUCGCGUCAGACCGCAUCGCGCCAGUGCACCGUCGACGCGAGUGGCUCGUUGGGUUGCGUCAGGUGUUGCUUACCUUCACGGCGGAGCCGAUCGGGCUGUGUGUGUAUGCUCUCUCGACACAAAUGCCGCUGUGCACGCUAAAACGUUCUCGAGUUCUACAGUACGUAGUGACUGGAGCGUGCGUUCUGAGACUGCAAGGCCCCUGCGCUUCUGGAUUAUAUCGCGGUGCCGAGGACAUGCCGACCUGAAGGCGCCAGAGCAUGUACCACCACGCGAGCAACAGUCGCGGCACCUUGGAUGUGGAAAACCGCGUCGUCCUCAACGUGGGCGGCAUACGCUUCGAGACGUACAAGACGACCCUCAAGAAGAUUCCCGCGACGCGCCUCUCGCGGCUCACCGAGGCGCUCGCAAACUACGACCCGGUGCUGAACGAGUACUUCUUCGACCGCCACCCGGGCGUCUUCGCACAGAUACUCAACUACUACCGCACCGGCAAGCUGCACUACCCGACCAACGUGUGCGGACCGCUGUUCGAAGAGGAGCUCGAGUUCUGGGGCCUGGACGCCAAUCAGGUCGAACCUUGCUGCUGGAUGACGUACACGGUGUACAGAGACACGCAGGCCACCCUGGCCAUCCUGGACACGCUCGACAUUGAGAACGAGAAGCCCAGCGAUGAGGAGCUUGCUCGCAAGUUCGGCGUCGAGGAGGACUACUACGCGGGCAAGCUGUCAUGCUGGCAGCGGCUCAAGCCACGCAUCUGGCUGCUCUUCGACGAGCCUUACUCCUCGCUGGCCGCCAAGGUCAUGGCCGUCAUUUCAGUCUUCUUCAUCUGUGUCUCUAUCCUGUCCUUCUGCCUCAAGACGCACCCAAACAUGCGGGUGCCCGUCAUCGUUAACCGGACCGUCACGCAGCGCAACACGACCGCCUGGGUGCUGGACAAGGUCAAGACGGACGCGCACGACGCCUUCUUCUACGUCGAGAGUGUGUGCAAUGCCUGGUUCACCUUCGAGAUCACCAUCCGGUUUGUGGUGAGCCCCAGAAAGCUCGACUUUGUGCGUGCCCCCAUAAACAUCAUCGACUUCAUCGCGACCAUGUCCUUCUACUCGGACAUGCUGCUCCAGCACCUCGCGGCGGACCUCGAGAACGCCGACAUACUGGACUUCUUCUCCAUCAUCCGAAUUCUGAGGCUGUUCAAGCUGACGCGCCACUCGCGCGGGCUCAAGAUCCUCAUACACACCUUCAAGGCCUCGGCCAAGGAACUCUUCCUCUUGGUAUUCUUCCUGGUGCUGGGCAUCGUGAUAUUCGCCAGCCUCGUCUACUACGCCGAGAGGCUGCAGGCGAACCCUCGCAACGACUUCACCAGCAUCCCCGAGGGCCUGUGGUGGGCCAUCGUGACGAUGACCACAGUGGGCUACGGGGACAUGGCGCCCAGGACUUACGUGGGCAUGCUCGUCGGUGCCCUGUGCGCGCUCGCGGGCGUGCUGACGAUCGGGUUGCCCGUGCCGGUGAUCGUGUCCAACUUCACCAUGUUCUACUCGCACACGCAAGCACGCGAGAAGCUGCCCAAGCAGCGACGCCGCUUCGUGGGCGAGCCGCCCGGCGCCGGCACGACGGCGACGGCAUCGGCGCCCGCUGUGCCGCAGGCGCGACGCAUGAACGCCAUCAAGCACCACCAGCACAGCAGGGAAUUUGCCGCCAACAAGCCAGGUAUAUACAACGGCGUCAGCACUCCGGACCAGGCCCCAUCGAUGCAGGCCAUACUUACCUAAGACCCGUGUCGCCGCCGGGAAGGCGACCGCACGCGCAGCGGACCUUCGUUGCGGUGACUGACUGUGUGGUGCCCACGGCGCCUCCCCUGCAAGAUGCGUCGUUAGCUGCCUACACUGUAGGGUCAAUGCUGAAUCUAUACUCACAACCACUAGAAAAACCCAACACAACGGCCAGACAAGAUUCAACGCGGAAACUGCUAGAUGAACCACGAAAGCUUGCAAAAACUUCGAAGAAGAGGAGUUUCCUGAAGAGCUCAGACUGCUUGCGUACUACCCUAUCUGCUAGAUGCGUAUCAGUUUGAAGUUGACGACGAGGAUCUCUAAAGCGCGUAGUCAGAUGCAGGUGACAGUUAUCCUGCGCUGCUUAGAAAAAAAACAACAACAAGAGAACACAGUACCUUGGCACGCGAAGGUUGGCCGGGACAUGUCGGCGUCAUAACACGUUGAUUUUUACAGAAGUCAUUAAGGAUUUAUACAACUGUUAAGCUAUUGAUGUAUUUCAGAUCGCAUACCGGUUGUGAAAGUGACUGACUAGAGCACGGUUCACUGACCAAGCAUAUGGAGCCGCAUUCGUGAUUCCAACAGGAAGCUGAAACAGCUACUAAAAGGCAACGUGUAAGAGGCCUGGUAACCAUGUACGCUAUUUAAUAGCACGGGCAUUUGCCUCCAUACAGUAUAUGACGAAUAUAAACGCGUUACCGAACAUUGAGUAGCAAUGGCGAUCUAGCUAGGACUGUCUCAUGUUAGGCUUGUUUUAUAAAAUCUUAGUCCGCGUUAACCUAGAUGUGGAUACGCUAGUGUAACAUGCUUUAAAGUAAACAAUGAAGCACAGAGCAGGCUAUCGUAUAUCAUGGGCUCAGUUUGCAAGCUGAAAUUAAAAAAAAAAAAAUAAUUACAUUCUGUACUUAAUUCUCAUGAUUCACAUUAGGCAUAUCAUUUACAGUGUGCUGGUAUUUUUUCGUGAUUUUGUGGUUUUUUACUCAAUUGAUUGUACACACGUGGAAUUCAACGUUAACUAAACGGUGCUCUUUACCUAUUGCGAACAAUAGAAACGAAACAGCGUGCAUACUAAGCCUUCGCUGAAACGGUCAGAGAUGGAAUUAGUACUCCAGUAGGUACUUCGUUUUUUCUCAACGCUAACGCGUGCGCCUUGCCUUUGCCCACCAUGUGCUCUGAGCAUAGCUCUACAAAUUAGCUGCACCUACAGUUUUCCUCAGACUGCUGUUUUCUCAGACUUGUUAUUCGACAAAGAAAAAAAAAGACACCACGCUCCUUUACAAGCCUAAUUACUGUUCAUGCAUACUCUAUAUAUAAACGCACGAAACAAAGAAACACAAAUAAAACCCAGCGUUGCCUUUUUAACCGGCGGACGCGCAAUGUGGGACCAACAUUCUAAAAAAGAACCCGAAAAAAAAUGGACAAAGUGGACGCGCGCACGCUAUGAAAAAAAGUGCCCUGAACCACCACUGUGCGCUGUUGCAACCUCACGCGUGAGUUGUCGGCAGCUUCGAAGAAAAGGCCUGCGAGAAACGCCACUUGUGCUGCGGUUAGCGAGACGUGCAGUCGACGAGCCAAGCACAUGAUGGAAAGCAAACCACGGAGGCGAUAGGAACCACUCACUUUCGUGUUUGAACGGGGAUAGCAGCACCCUCCUCAUCACGCUACUGUCAUCAGCAUUCGCAGGCAAUGCGAUGGUGCUUCUUUCCCAGCUGCUGUCGCGCCGGUGCGAUCUCUCGCGUUUCGUGACACUUAUGCGUCACAGCUGCGCCCGAGAUCACCGUGACGAGGCAGUUGUCGGAAUGCGGCAAACAACUCGUACGCAACGCGACGAAGACUUCAUCUGCCUGUUCUUCACUGCGAUCGACGACUGCAGUGCGUGACGUCGGCUCUUCGUGCUCGUGACGUGAUCGCGUGUCCGGCGUCACGUGAUAGUGACUCUUUCUUUCGUGCGGUGUUGUGUCGGUGCAUAUCGUCAGACACCGGUGCGCUAAAUAUAUAUACACGUAAUAAGAGACGUUCUGGCGACAUUUUCGGUUGUGCUGCUUGCUUUGCGUAGGUCGCCAGAGAAGACACCUCAACAAGCUUCCCUUCGGUGCCGUCCUAUUGUGGUGUGCGAAGACUGGAACACUCGAGAGAAGAAAAGGAUAGUGAGGACUUUGCAGUUUAACGCGAAGACAAGCUUCUGUGCUCUAUAUGGUUGAGGCGCUUCUUCAACUCACUCUGACUCUGCGCGUUUAGUUUCAGCUGAUGCCUAUGCUUGUCUAUCGAUUACUGCGAGGAGAAGCUGUUGUUUACCGUGAUACUGAUACUCAAUAUGCCUACUGAACAGAUUACCGCAGAGGUGCACGGCAUUCUGGAAGCAAUGAUAUUAACUACCACUAUGAAUGUAUUAGUGCUAUCUUUUUUGCAUCGCAGCAUCCGCAGCAAGCUUCAAAUUUUCUUUCAGCCUUCAUUUGUUGGAGCGAGUGAAAUCUCUUCACUGAACCAGAAGAUCCCACUCGCCGUCUACAGAAAAUACGACGAUCGCGUGGUUGCUGGUCUUUCUUCAAACUCCCGAGAAACAGGUGCGGAGAGCCGCCCCACAACGUAACCCCUAGUCACAAAGAAAAGCGUUCUCUAGAAUAAGAUUCAAAGGUACAUUUAAAGAUUUGGAUAACCCUUCAAAAGUGACGGCUUCUUUAAAGCAAGGCAGUGGAAAAAGCUUAAACUAAUUGAAUAGCAACUAAUCUUGACAUAUUCUUUGAGCGUUGAUGUUGUGUUCAGCGUAUUAAACUUUCUAGAUAUAUUACUGCACCGAGUUCUUUAAAACUUGACGUUUCAGCAUUGAGGUUUCACUCAUGACCACUUUUACAACUAUGACAUUUGACAAAAUUGCACCACCGGUCGGAGUCAACAGCGCUGUCUAAUGAAUCGAUCACAACAGGAAGCACCAAUUUCCACUUCCUUUUGACAUAAUAUAAUUAUUUUACUAGGUACACCAACUACUCAUUCUUAACUCACUAUUGGACCGACCACCCGGACUGUCUUCAAAGGAACAGGAUCAUCUUAAAGCCAUACGCUCAGCAGAUGUCUUGUAAAUUACGUUCUUCCAUCGAUGUGGAUGCGAUUUAAAAUCAACUUCAUCCAUGUUCAGUUCCUUGUGCAUACCAUUCCAAUCAUGAUUUUUUCCCGCCAGCAGCUGAUUUUCAUGUGAUAAGCAAAGGUUGUAGUCUCUUCGGGAUAUCCGCAUCGAAUGCGUGUCCGUUAUUGAACUGUAUACCACUCAUACUGUCCACGCAAGCUAUAUCUGUGUCCUGCGACCAUACUGAGAUGCAAGCAUCCAAUACAAGCCCUCUCUUAACCGAGUGUCUCGCAAUAGGCCAGUAUUUGAGUUUUCUUUCUUGCAUUUCUCAAACGUGUUUAAGCGCUGUCUUGGUAGCCAUUGGUUUUGGUUCAUAUUCUCCCAUAAGUACAAGCCCGUCAUCAGAUGAGAAUUUCAGACUAUCUUGAAACAAAAAACUGUAUAACAAAUAUUUGGCUACGCUAGUUUGACUACGUUCUUGGAAUUAUAUGUAGUUUUGCCUUACCGCAAGUGAAUUCUGUCAGAUAUGCCUGUACAGUGUGCGAUAAAAUGGCACCGCCAGCUGCGAAUGACGUUUAAUUGUUGGUGUUAGCAACACGCGGUCAGCGCUGCCAAGGCAUGUUUAUAAAUAUUAACUAUAAUGACAAUUGCAUGGCACUCAAGAAUAAGCAAGGAUUAAACCUAAUAACAUUGGGAAACUGUGCAGCAAGACAUUUACAUAUGUGACGUAACACUGAUGGCGUCAUUUUGGCGACUACGUCGCAAAAUCUCAAAGUAGAAAACGUCGACUUCCAUUUCCUAUUUUGAUGAUUAUCUUUUAUCAAAUAAAUACAGCACGAGUGGUAGAAUAACACUUUCGGGAUUUAAGCGAAAUUACCAUGUAUCGUAGUCGGGGUAUCAUUAAUAUGAUGCCGUAUAAUAAAGUUCGUUAAUGAAACUUGUCAUUAUGCGAGAAAUUGUCAUCUGUGCACCACAAGAAAAUAUGCGUUCGAAGUGAUGUUAGUUGUUUCUUUUUUUAUUUUUAAGUAAAAAGAGGGGUUAGCACUAACAGUUGUGACAGGAUUUCAUAGUACAUCUCUCACGUGUAUAUUAAGGCUUCAAAAAUAAGUCUUUAUUUUGUACCUAGAAAUGCGGUGCUUUUUGUCUUUGACAAACUCAAAAAUAAACGCACUGUAUACCGCUUAGUACUGACUGCAACGUGCUGUCCUCGAAUUUCCCUUUUUCCUUUCUCAAUAUUGUACAAUAUAACCUUGAUAUAAACAAAACAAAACAAAGCAAGAACCCGUAAGGUCACUGGAUAGCGCUGAACCAAUAUUGUCGCGUUUAUGAUCCUCCGCUCUUCCAAGCGCAAUAACACUGAAAUUCUCUUCCCUUGAUGAUUUUUAACUUGUAUUAUUCCGCUGAUAUUAUCCGCCUAUAAUGCGAGCAAAGGCUGGUAUACACUGGAUAAGGAGGGAUAGGUUGGUACAUCGCCUGUUUACUCAAAGAUUUACAUUAACGACAGCAGCUUCAAGCACAGAACAUACAUAAGUAGGCCGUACGCUAGCACAGAACAACAGGUAUAAGCGCAAUUAGCUGUAUGAAUGUCAACGGGAGCAUAACGUGAUAUAGUUCAAGUGUUAGAUGCAGGAUGGGAACGAGGAUUGAAUGGGUUCUGAAAAGUUGUUGCUCUGUGAGGCGAGUUUGGUUUAAAUUGGACAGAGGUAACAUGUGUACCGUAUCGCUAAUUAGAUACGCGCGAAUGAGCGGCAGGUAUUUGCUACCCAGCCAAGCUACUAUUUUCAUUUGAGCAAGGUACUACUUUUGGUACUUUAGUAGAAGUACCACCAAAACGUUUAACGAGUUCAUUACUCAUUACUUUCACGAUGAUUUUGUGGCUGCAAUGAAAUAUGACAAUAUUCCAUUCCCCCGAACUUUCAAGUUGCAUUCAGUGCGCGCUUCUUUUUAGUUCGUCUCGUAAUGUGUAUGGCAGGUCGAUAAGUGCGACAUAUCCCUUUUCACACUAGCUCCGCAGUUCCGAAAUCUUCAGAUAACAGGUGUUCCUUCAUUCUGUUCAAGGAACAUGGUCGUUAGGUCUCUAGUGUAUUUCUUUUCCUCAGAAAAUACACCGUAGAGAACGGUUCCUUCUUUAAAGAGGCCCUGCAACGCUUUUCCGAGUAAUUAUCGCUUCGUUAGAAUAUCUUAUUGCUUCACGAAUCGACUAACGCAAAAAUUUUUAGAAUGCGUCAAGUGCGAGCGGAGUUACGGCGAUUCGUCGCACGCUCCAAGCGCUUUCUCGCUCCUUUCGUACUAGCGAUCGCGCUGAAAGCUACGCAGGGAAGGGGAUGACAAGGUGACAAGAAGAUUCGUCCCUUUGGAAGCGACGGCGCUGACAUCGAGGCACCCUAGCGCGUGCAGGCACGUGGCGACAUCUCGCGGCGGCCACGGUAACUAUGCAGCUCACGAUGCUCAAAUCAGCCAAUGGCCAUGGUGUUUUGGUUUAUGGUGCGGUCAUUUGGGUUAUGGCAUCACUUGUCGGGAGAAGAAGGAAUGAUUUCUUGCUGAUUUUCAUAAUUAAUUGUAAAUUCUAGGCUGCGUGCUGCGCUAUAAAUUUUAGAUCACAUAUUCUUGGGAGCUUCGACUACCGAUCGGCAGCGUUUUCUGACCAUGCUGAAAAAGUGUUGCAGGGCCUCUUUAAGACUUACGGCAACUACUGCGGCAAAAUUAGGCGAUCUUCACCUGUUACGUUCACUCAAGAUUCAUUAUCUGUACAACGCGCCGCCUAGUGUCGACUAUGCCAAUUACCUAAUUCUUCGACAGUUGCUUAGACUUGAACGACCCCUGUAUGUUCCCACACGAUGUCUGCCGACCUUUGUGAUAUUGCCAUGUUAUAAAACCAAUCAUAAAUCAAGAAAGCCAGACUUCCACCGACUACCAGGAGGAUGCAGUUUUCGAUUAGGACUAAUUCCAAAAAUAAAAACAAGAAAACUAGUCAACGAUCAAGAGACUGUGUAUAGGUAAAGAUUUGCUCUGCUACUUUUGGCUUUAUGUUAAAAUACUAGCUCAUUUUGUGCAUUGAGGCGCCCUGGCACUACGCCGUGUUGAAACGUGCGCGCUUCACUCAAGUUCGCGCUCGGCGUAAUGACCAGCACAUGGUGCCGCUGCGCUGUUACAAAGGUUUUGUAUAGAAUCGCUAUUUCUUUAUCCAUUUUUGUUGUUUUGUCUCGAGGGCGUAUGCUUGUGUACAUAUGAAUUCAUUGUAUUAUCACGUGAAUCCUUGAGAUCAUCAUAUUUUGAUAGCCUCAUCUUUGAAAGUAAAAAAAAAACAUACUUUGUUCUCUUCUGAUUUCGAGGAUGUCAUCAUCGCCGAGGAAAAAAAAAACUGCUUCUUGCAAAAUGUAGCCUUUCUAUACCUAAUGAAUUUUUGGCUUAUUGUUUGUAGCCGUGUAGUCAUGAUAGUGACCAUACCACAAUAAAAUGCUGCGAGCGUA
rnacentral:misc_RNA from 1 species